AUUGAACGCUGGCGGCAGGCCUAACACAUGCAAGUCGAGCGGAGCGGCGGACGGGUGAGUAAUGCCUAGGAAUCUGCCUGGUAGUGGGGGAUAACGUCCGGAAACGGGCGCUAAUACCGCAUACUCUCAGAUGAGCCUAGUUCGGAUUAGCUAGUUGGUGGGGUAAAGGCCUACCAAGGCGACGAACCGUAACUGGUCUGAGAGGAUGAUCAGUCAAACUGGAACUGUGACACGGUCCAGACUCCUACGUGAGGCAGCAGUGGGGAAUAUUGGACAAUGGGCGAAAGCCUGAUCCAGCCAUGCCGCGGGUGUGAAGAAGGUCUUCGGAGUGUGAAGCACUUUAAGUUGGGAGGCGUUACCAACAGAAUAAGCACCGGCUAACUUCGUGCCAGCCGCCGCGGUAAUUC
rnacentral:rRNA from 1 species